rnacentral:rRNA from 1 species
CCUACGGGUGGCAGCAGUGGGGAAUAUUGCACAAUGGGCGCAAGCCUGAUGCAGCCAUGCCGCGUGUGUGGAGAAGGCCUUCGGGUUGUAAAGCACUUUCAGCGGGGAGGAAGGCGUUAAGGUUAAUAACCUUGGCGAUUGACGUUACCCGCAGAAGAAGCACCGGCUAACUCCGUGCCAGCAGCCGCGGUAAUACGGAGGGUGCAAGCGUUAAUCGGAAUUACUGGGCGUAAAGCGCACGCAGGCGGUCUGUCAAGUCGGAUGUGAAAUCCCCGGGCUCAACCUGGGAACUGCAUUCGAAACUGGCAGGCUAGAGUCUUGUAGAGGGGGGUAGAAUUCCAGGUGUAGCGGUGAAAUGCGUAGAGAUCUGGAGGAAUACCGGUGGCGAAGGCGGCCCCCUGGACAAAGACUGACGCUCAGGUGCGAAAGCGUGGGGAGCAAACAGGAUUAGAUACCCGGGUAGUC